UACGUAGGUGGCAAGCGUUAUCCGGAAUUAUUGGGCGUAAAGCGCUCGCAGGCGGUUUCUUAAGUCUGAUGUGAAAGCCCACGGCUCAACCGCGGAGGGUCAUUGGAAACUGGGGAACUUGAGUGCAGAAGAGGAGAGUGGAAUUCCACGUGUAGCGGUGAAAUGCGUAGAGAUGUGGAGGAACACCAGUGGCGAAGGCGACUCUCUGGUCUGUAACUGACGCUGAGGAGCGAAAGCGUGGGGAGCAAACAGG
rnacentral:rRNA from 1 species